GAAGGAAAUGCUGGGCAAUUAUGGCACGGAGAAGAAGUUUGUCAUCCCUACUGCCACAUUAAGCAAGUUAAAAAUAUCUCUCAAAGGUUUUUCUUUGGCCUCUUAACAAGCUCCAGCAGAAUGAAAGUUGGCCGGUGUGACCCGAAUUGCCAGCCUCUUCCCAUCAACCUGCACGUGACUGUACAGGGUGGAGGCCAAGGUUUUCCAACGAUGUCUGUGGAAAACCCGGCAACUACUCCCAGGGAAAUGAAGAAAAGCCACCUCCACUCUCCCUGCUGCUCCCAUGGAAUCGUGCACUCUGAUUUGGGCACUGACAUCUUUCCUCAGGCCCAGGACAUCAAGAACAGUAUUUGUUCCUGCCAUGUUUCCAGCAUUCUUGUCCACGGAUGUAUCUAUCCAGGCCCCCAACCCCACUACCAACCUUGACAUAUUUAUUAAGCAGAUGACCAGCAUGCCCUUUCUCUUUCAUAUUGCUGAGAUUCCAGCUCUUCUAGAAAGCCUGCCCACCUGGCCAAAGGGGAGCUGUGGGUUUGUCCUGACACCUGCUUGUCUAGGCACGGAGUUCCUACAACUGCACCUGGACAUAAGCAAAACUGGAUAAUAAAGGAAAACAAUACUACUUGGAUAAUAAACGGUGAA